rnacentral:rRNA from 1 species
UACGUAGGGUGCAAGCGUUAAUCGGAAUUACUGGGCGUAAAGCGUGCGCAGGCGGUGAUGUAAGACAGUUGUGAAAUCCCCGGGCUCAACCUGGGAACUGCAUCUGUGACUGCAUCGCUGGAGUACGGUAGAGGGGGAUGGAAUUCCGCGUGUAGCAGUGAAAUGCGUAGAUAUGCGGAGGAACACCGAUGGCGAAGGCACUCCCCUGGGCCUGCACUGACGCUCAUGCACGAAAGCGUGGGGAGCAAACAGG